UAUCAUUGCCUGUGGGAUCCGAGUAAGCCACUGACAUAAUACAAAGGUUUACGUCAAAAUACGAAAAGUGAAGAGCAAAAUCAUUCUGUUUCACGUUAAUGGGUAUUUCUGUGACGUAAAAAUCUCCUCUCCCUUUAGAUUAAUUGCAUUGAUAAAAUACAGCACUGGAUGUUAUUACAUGUACGGCUGCCCCACCGUUUCAGAGGCAACGUUGGAGGGCGGGGAGCCACUUCCAGUCCUCUCCCCACUUGCCCAACACUUUUUUCCUCUGGUAAUUGACUUCUCCUUUUGCCCGCUCACCAAUGUCCUGACAUAGGACACUGUCCAGGUUGUGGGCAGAGCACACGGCGGGUCGGUGACAGCCCUGAACCAGAGCCAUGUUCCUGUGCCGUGGUGUGGGGUGCGUAAACUGCAGGGCAGGGCAGGGUGUUGGCCACGGAUGCUGUUCCUGGUGCCUUCUCGCUCCUAAUAAAAGCGUCCCUGCCAAAGAAACCAACAGCCUGUGUAUGAAAUAUUUCCUUACCUGUGGGUGCAUUGUCUUUCAGAAACUAAAGAGAAAUCAAGAUCCCCUCCACGCAUCUCUUGAUCUUCACCAGACUUGAAGAACCUGUAGCUCUUAGAGCUGGAGGUAUGUUUGCUUUGUGUUUCAUGUAUUUGCUCUUUCUACCCUACCAACUGUCUGCAUGAAGCAGGCACUGUCAAAGGCCAAAAAUUUGAAACCAUUUCUUUCACUACAGUUUCCACAAGUGGCUAUAAUGUGUGCAAUAUAAAGCAAUUAAGCUAUUGGCAGUCAUAUUGUUUGGAGGGCCAAAUAUGUCAUCUGUGGCUGAAAUACUGAGGAACAUGGAAUGGGUUCCUGCAGGGAUCUCUGAAAUUCCACAAGGAGUGAUAUUAUUAAUUUAGUUAAGCUAUAAGAAGUAAAUGGUUUUGCAUGUGAUAUUGCAUGAUUUAUUGCUCAUUUAUUCCAGUUACACCAGCCUGUCUUAUGCCCAUCCUCAGUUACAUCUACAGGAGUAAUUACCCAAUAAAAAACAGAAAGGAAAUCA
rnacentral:lncRNA from 1 species